rnacentral:lncRNA from 1 species
AAAAAUAACGUUCAUUUCAUAAAUAUCAUAACAUUCGGUUACAACAAUAUAAAAACAACAACUAAACAAUUAAACAACAAAACAAACAAAUACAAAGACUAAACAACAUAACUAUGCGAUUACAACUAUCAAAACAAUUUCCUGAGAGUUGUACAUCAUCAUGCGAACGUCUCUAUCAGUUUUAUCAGUGUCCCAGAAAUGACUUUUUCCAUUGUCUUUGAAUACGGUAAUAAGUCUUUG